rfam:Bacillus smithii strain DSM 4216, complete genome.
UAACCCAUCUAGCGAUGGAUGGCUGAACCGUCAGAAGUCAGCAGACGUCAUAGUACAAAUAAGGUC